rnacentral:misc_RNA from 1 species
AUAAACACGUGUGAUUUUGACACUGUGAUUGUUUCAUCAACCUAACUUUUGUAUCACGAUUUAAAUCAAAAUGACAACCGUAAACGAAGCACAGAUGAAGCUGUUCACUGAUCUAGAAAUUGAAAUGACAGCAGAUAUGUACAAUAAGUAAGUUUAUUUGGUAAUACAUUGUUAAUGAAUUGGUAAUUUACCAAUUGAAGAGUAAAUUCGAACUGCAUAUACACAUUCAUUGACACAACCUUUAUCAUUCCAAACUUACGCCUUUAAUCGUAUAUAAUUUGAAGCUUAGCAGAUUGUACACUUAUGAUUCUUCCGUAGUUAUUGUUGUCAAACAUCAACCCGUCUAUAUAAUAAUGUAAUUUUAUGUGAUCAACUGCCUAUUCUCUUUUGAGAAGUGGACAGGCAUAGCCUAGAUCCACUAGCUUACAUCCACUAUGCCUGUCCACUUCUCAAAAGAGAAUAAUCAACUGCCAACAAGAAAAAUAUAUUAUUGGUUUGAUGAGUAAUUUUUAACGAGGCCGGGUCUAAUUUGUUCUGCCCUAAAUUUUGAAUGGAAUUUUUCACAUGAAUUUCUACUGAUGUCUGAUAUAAUUAUUAUUUAAGAU